rnacentral:ncRNA from 2 species
GGAGAUUCUUUCAGUCCAGUC